rnacentral:ncRNA from 2 species
AUACACCACAAGGGGAGCUUUAGCUGAGAGUGAACAUCCGUUCUUACCCUUUGAACCUGUAAGUUAACACUUGCGCAGGGAUGUGGAUAGAAACCGGC